GUAAUGUGACAGUCCUAAAGCAUUUGUGAGUGAAGAUAAACUAAGUCCAGCUCAACUGUAUUCCAUAAACAGCUCUUCUGAUAUACUCAUCUUUGUGUUGAUUCAUUUUUUCAGUUGGAAAAUCACAGGAGCUUAUUUGACUGCUCUGGGCUGUGCCCGGGGGAGUCACUUAGGUGGGAAUGGGACAGCCUCUAGCCAUAAACAUAUAAAAGGAAGAAAUGCAUGCCAUUUUUUUUGUUGGGUCUUAAUUAAUGAACUUUCUGCUCAGCUUCUGCUGAAUCCUAAGCACUGUAUUUAAAGUCUCAAAGUAACUUCUUUACUUUCAGUAAUUAAAUAUCUUUUACUAGUUCUUAUCUUCUGCUUUUUCCUUUGCCAUCCCAUAUAAAAUGUUUAAUGACAGUUAAAAGAAACAUAGGACAUGGGAUAUCUGUAGGUCAGGCAAAGACUAGCCUGCUUUUAGUGUUUGGUCCUUUCUGGAAAGAAAAAUCCUAUUGCUGCCUAUCCUUGUGUAGCCAAGCCAUUUGAAAAACUCACCAGCUGAACACAAACCAUGGCUGGGUGUUUUGUCUUCCUUAUCUUUUGUCUGUGCCUCAGUACCACCAGAGAAAGGAAGGAAGAGACAGAACAGCUUCUCACACUGACAUUGACAUAAUUUGGCACUUGCUGCAGAUUAAAAUGAAUAUGACAGGAUCUUUCUUUCUGAGACAGUAACAGGGAUCUGAAGUGCUGACUUCUGUCAAUAUGGCAGUGGCAAGCUCCUCUGCUUCUCCCUCCUGUGACUGCUGUUGCUAUGAAAAAAGCAAGAGGUACAGGCUUUACCAAUAUGCCAGUGCUUUAGGAUAAAAUGAAGAGAGGAAAAAAUAAUGUGAGGCAAUGCUAUCAAGAGUUCAUAACAAUACAACCAUGAAUUAUGCAGUUGCAUCUAUCCACUAUGUGCAAAUAGGAUACCAAAGCCUAAGAAUGAACAUGUAAUGCACAAGGCACAGCUUCCUGUGAUUGUAAACUGGUAUAAAAUUAUUAACUAACAGGGUUAUUCUGACUUAAUGUAAGAAUGUGUGAUGUACAAGUCCUCCUUUUCCCACUUAGUUCCGCCAUGAGGUAAUACCUGUUCUCAAACACACAUAAUAGAGUCUGAGAGGUUUCCCAAACUUGAGUCCAUUGUGAAUUCUCUGCUCUCUCCACUGGGCUCAAAGAGCUCUCUCAGAGGGCAAACUUUGUUCUUCCAGCUUGUUCUAGUCUGCAACUAGAACAGUGUUGUUCUAGGAGUGUGACUUCUGUUUCUUCCCAGCCCAGGCACAUUUUCUUGUUUUGCCUUUGAACUGUGGCAGAGGAACCCCCACGGGGAAGGGGGCACACAGACUUCCAGCAGAUCAGGUCAGCUUAGUCAACACAGGCUUCAUCAAAGCAAAAUUUACUCCAUGCUUGAAGCAAUUUUGAUUCUGUUUUGAAUCUAUUUGCUAAAGGAUAAAUAAUGUCAGAGUUUUGUGCUUGGGAUGAAAAUAGCAUGAGUCAUCAGGGAAACCCAGGAGGAAGUACCCAAAGUUUUCUAGCCUGGCAAACAGGGCUAGAAGCAGGAGCAGGUACAUUAAACUCUCAGUCCUUGUCUCUUGCUCCCAGUUACUUGGAUGCAGGGGAUUUCAUUACUCAGAUGUCUCUCCAAAAUGGAUCAGUUGAUCUUGUAAUCCCUUACAGUGAGUUUACUCAGCACUUUUAUGGGACUUGAAGCUCUCAGAUGUAGAGCCCUCCAGAAAUGCUGAGCCCUGCUGGAACUAGUAGAUCAUAUGUCAGCAGUGUACCCUGGCUGAAAGGAAGGCCAGUGGUAUCCUGGGCUGCAUUAGACAAAGUAUUGUCAGCAGGUCAGGGAGGUGAUCUUGCUCUUCUGCUCUGCACUUGUGAGGCCACACCUGGAGUGCUGUGUGCAGCUCUGGGCUUCACAGGACAGGAGAGACAGGGACCUCCUUGAGAGAGUCCAACAAAGCAGUGUGAAGGUGGUAAAGGGACAGGAGGAAAGACUGUGAGGAAAGACUGAGUGAGCUGGGGCUGUUCAUCCAGGAGAUGUCUCAGGGUUAUCUUAUCAAUUGUUAUAAAUACGUGAAGAGAGAAUGUAAAGAAAAUGAAACCAAACUCUUCUCAGUGGUGCUCAGUGUCAGUGAGCACAAACUGAAGCAAAGGGAGGACCUCUGAACAUCAGGAAGCAUUGUCUUUGAGGGUGACUGAGCAGAAGGAUUCAGCAUUGCAUCAUCUACCUCCUAAACAGGGAAGCUGCAACCACACAAGAAAAGCAAUUUGCAAAAGUACCAAAGAGAUCCAUCCUCACCUCUGUUCAGAGGACUCAGUAGCUAAGCUGCUUCUUUAUUUCUGGAAACUAGUUGUGCUAUCAGUUAUUGACAAUCUUCAUCUUGAUUGUUAAAUAAUUUCUAGCACAGAUUGGUUAUGCUUAAGGGGUGCUGCAAAGUCCCAUGCAGCAACUUUUUACAUCCCUGUUUGCUAGAAGCACCAGCAUAUCCUCCAAGAAAGCCUGCACUGAGCAUGCCCUAUUUCCUUUCUUUGCCUGUGCAUUUCUCCUGCUAUCACUGUUAGAAAAAAGAAUGUUGAGUUUAGUUAACCUUUAGGUCUGAAACUGUAUGGCUGCUUCUAUGCAUUGCAUUACCCUUGGUGUCAGGUUAGCAAAAGCCAAGAAGAAUCCAUUAUCACAUCUAAUACUUCCAUGAGUUUACUCACCAGUUUGCAUUGGCUGCAUGUGUAAAUGGAGGCCGGAUGUUGCUACACAAAUAUAUUAUAAUACUGCUAUAUAACUUUGUAUAAUACUGCAGGAUUUGCUCUGCAGGACUGACAUCCUGGGAACAAGGCAGGCAAUGGAGGUGAGAGAGCCCAGUAUGUCCUCUGACUUGUGUGUGAGUUCCUGCAGUGGGUGUAAGAGUGAGAUCUUUGAGUUUUUCCUUAGAGUGCUGUGCAUGGGCACUGAAGAUGGAGGGCAUGUGAACAGAAGACUUCCAGAAUGAUGCUGUGUGGUCCAGUAAGAGCAGCAGCUCCUGAACACUGUGCACUCGAGGAAGGCUUCAGCUGUUGGGCAACACUUGCUGCUCCAAGAACCACUGCGGUCUUCUACGGAGCAUAUGAUGGAUGGGUUCAGACGAGGAAACCGUGCUGUAGAGCAAACAAAAGUUGUACAUAUCUGGCAACAACUCCUGAGGCCUCUUUUCAACCAAGUAAACCAUAACUUCAUGCCAUAGGUUUUUCUCUAUCCAGCAGUUUGUCAGUUGAAGCAGAAGACAAUCCUUUUCACCAACACUUACUCAUGUACACAUGCUGAUCAGCUGAAGUGUUAAAGCUCAAGGUAAAAAGGAGAUCUGCAGCUUCACAUCCAGUUUUUGGGGGGUAAGAAGAGAGAUGAAUAAGCAGCAAAGGAUGCACAAACCCAGCUACCAUUCUGCCAUGUGCCAGCUUUCCAUGAGACAGGAACAUAACAUACCCUACCUCUGCUCAGAAGAGUGUGGGAAGCCUAAAAUUCCGUAUCCUAAUUUAGUCAGGCUGUCUAAUGAUAUGUACCUAACUAUCAGCAGCCUGAAUAGUUUUUUUAUGGCUGUCAUUGUCUUUGGGGAUUGCUUCACGUGUGAGUUUCUUACCAGAGCCUGAGGAAAGGAAGUAGCCAGGACCAGGUGAGAAGUGGUGUAGGGCUGGUGAUUAAUUUGUGGGUUCCUUUGUGACUCACAGUCAGAGCACCUCCCCAAUGGGCUGGGCUUGGGCAGCCUGGUUUACAGUCACUUGGAAGUGCUGAUUAUACCUGGUGAAAUAUUAGGUGUCUUUUUUAAAGCAUAAAAUGAAAGAAUUUCUGUUAUAAUGGUGAAUAAAGAGGCUGGGUGCAGCAAUGACCACCUAGUUGCAGAGGGACAGAGGCUGCAGGCAGGUUUGUAUCAUCCACAGAGUUGGAGUGAUGGUAGAAUUACUUGCCUGCAUAUUCACUGCUUUGAGGGAAGAAUAGGGUGGGAAAAAUAAAUGUAAUAUGAACCCUAAUAGGAAACUGAAGUGCAGGCUUGUGAUUGUGCUUAUUUCAUUGUGGUAAAAUAAAACAAGGACAUUUGAUGAUUUUUAAAAAUUUAUUUAUU